rnacentral:lncRNA from 1 species
UAGUCUGUGAUUCUUGCACUCCCAAUGCUCCACUCUGACCUGAAACACAAACAUAAGCAUUUAGAUUCAUCAUAAACGAAGACAGGAAACACAAACACAAGCUUCUUCAGAGACAGGAAACAAGUGAUUCAUACACCUUCCCUUACUUUAUUUAGCAACAAUGUCGCCUCCCUCUCGUUGAUAACUUGAUUUCUUCAAGUUUUUUUUUUUUUUUUCACAGAGAAAGAUCAUCCCAACAUUUAGAUACAUUCUUAUGAAUCUUAAGCAAAAGAUUAAACAACCAUACUUCUCGAUGUGGUAGGAGGUAAUCUCACAUCAAAGCAUCAUCUUUUAUUCCUAAUCCAACUGUACCAUUUCGAAACAGAGAUACACUUCGAAUUCAAAGCAUCAUCUUUUAUUCCCUUGCGAUUCCAAUGUCUAUACAAAAACGUCUCUACGAUUCAAAGAUUCCAUCUCUGUUUUGCCUUUUGAUUCCUAAUCUAACUCUACCAUAUU